UCCGGUAUAGUCUAAUGGUCAGGAUUGGCGACUCUCACUCGCCAGGUCGGGGUUCGAUCCCCCGUACCGGAA